AUGCUCACUUUGGGAGCACCUAUACUAAAAUUGAAAUAAUACUGAGAUUAGCAUGGCCCCUGUGCAAGAAGGACACACAAAUUCAUGAAACAUUCCGUAUUUUU